GGGUGCGCAACACGUGAGCAACUUGCCCGUGACAGGGGGAUAAGCGAUGGAAACGUCGUCUAACAUCCCGUAACACUAGAGGGGGCAUCCCCAUUAGUUGAAAACUCCGGUGGUCACGGAUGGGCUCGCGGGACAUUAGCUAGUUGGCGGGGCAACGGCCCACCAAGGCGACGAUGUCUAGGGGUUCUGAGAGGAAGAUCCCCCACACUGGAACUGAGACACGGUCCAGACUCCUACGGGAGGCAGCAGUGAGGAAUAUUGGUCAAUGGGCGGAAGCCUGAACCAGCCAUGCCGCGUGAAGGAAUAAGGCCCUAUGGGUCGUAAACUUCUUUUGACGGGGAGCAAUAAGGGUCACGUGUGGCCCGAUGAGAGUACUCGUCGAAUAAGCAUCGGCUAACUCCGUGCCAGCAGCCGCGGUAAUACGGAGGAUGCAAGCGUUAUCCGGAUUUAUUGGGUUUAAAGGGUGCGUAGGCGGACGUGUAAGUCAGGGGUGAAAUACCGGGGCUCAACCUCGGAACUGCCUUUGAUACUGCAUGUCUGGAGUUCGGAUGCCGUGGGAGGAAUGGGCAGUGUAGCGGUGAAAUGCAUAGAUAUUGCCCAGAACACCGAUUGCGAAGGCA
rnacentral:rRNA from 1 species